CUUCUGCCUACAUUUCCCAGAUCGAGGAAAAUAUCUCCUGAUCUCAAAAUGGUUUGUUCAGGAUGAAAUCAACAAAGAGCUGGAGUGACUCAGGUACUGCAGCAUUCCAUUUGUAAACAGCAAAGCAUCAGUGCAUUGAACAGAAACCUCAAAACUCCCUAACAGCUAAUGCUCCCCUCAGGUACUGGAAAGCCACAGUGAGAUCUCCUUGGAGCCUUCUCUUCUCCAAGCUCCCUCAACCAGUCUUCAUAGGAGAAGUGCUCCAGCCCUUUGAUCAUCUUCAUGGCCCUCUUCUGGACAGCACUCGAUAGACAUUAAACACAUUUGAGGACUUUGCUGAUUGAAUACAGGUGCUUAUGUAGCUGUACAUGGUGUCCAUGGUGCCGCCGGGGCUGUAUUGCAGGAAAAGGAAACGUCAGAUUUAUGCUCAGAAGCCCCACAACUAUGUCCUCUGGAACGCUUUCUUCCUCAUAUGUCACAAGAAAUCAAGAUCUUUUUCCUCAAUAUCCUUUUUCAGUUGUAGGAUCACGUUCACCACCUGGGCAUGGAUGCAAUGCAUGCUUGGGGUUACAGUAAGGCUAGGGUGAGGGUGAAGGUUAGGGUCAGGUUUAAGGUUGUAUUUCAUUCUGUUUGGGCUAGGGUUAGGGUUGCAUUGUAUUACUUCAGGUUCCAUUGCAUUGCCCUCUGUUCAAUUGUGGUGCCACCACCUCAGGAGUGCAGACUUCACUGUGGUGGACUUCUCAGUGUCCCCAGGAUGUUGACUGGUGCCUGAAGGCUGUUGCCACUGCUCUGCUUGGUCUCAGGUAGUUGAUGGGGAGCGUGGGGUUAGGGCAUCGCUCAAGCUCUGAGUACCUCCAAGUGGCUCAUUUCCAUUUCAAAGGGCCCGUUUGUUUUAUCUGGCAAUUAGCUUGCACCCUCUGUAGAAAACGACUCCAUAAAAACAACCGAGCUCCCGGCCAAUCUCCCCUUUUAAAUAUUUUUUAAGUGCAUGAUUAAUACACUUCCCCAGCCCCUGUCUGGGACUGUGCGGGGAGGUCAGGGAGCAGGUAAAUGAAAGAAAAUGGCUUCACUCGGCAUUGACUGGGCUAUUAAUCACUGCCCAUUUUCUAUAAAUCGUGGCAGAUGGCAGAAACAAGCAGGUACUCAUGGGAAAUGACACACUGUGCAUGACGGGAAUCGUGGAUCGCAGCCGAGGACCAGGAGAGGACGAGGUCACUCCUCACCGCAUGCGCCCUGCUUGCACCACACCUGCACUUCCCCUCCGUGCAACAGCAUUGUCCUCCAAAAGGGGCUGCAAAGCUUCCUUGGGCAGCCUGUUCCAGCACAUCGCUGCUCUUGUGGAGAAGAAAUGUUUCCUAACAUCCAUCCUGAACCUCCCCUGGCAUGCUUUGAGGCCAUUCCCUCUCAUCUUCUCACAGCUGCCCAGGAGAAGAGGCCGACCCCCAUCUUGCUACAACCUCCCAACUGUUUUGUCCACAGUGAGUCCAUGGCAGCAAGUCAGGGUGGUGGAAGGCAGCUAUUUGUUUUGGAAGACACACAGUGGUACAUAUAUAAAAGCAGGAAAAAGAAGAAUUUAUAU